CGAUUUUCGUAUCGCGUUUGGUAGUACUGCUGGGGGUAGAGCACUGACAGGGCUAGGGGGCUUCACCGCCUACCAAACCCUAUCAAACUCCGAAUACCGGCAAGUAACGCCAGGCAGACAGGCGGCGGGAGAUAAGUUCCGUCGCCAAGAGGGAAAGAGCCCAGACUCUCAGCUAAGGCCCCCAAAUCCGUGCUAAGUGGUCAAGGAUGUAAGGGAGCUCAGACAACCAGGAGGUUGGCUUAGAAGCAGCCACCCUUUAAAGAAAGCGUAAUAGCUCACUGGUCAAGUUCUCUUGCGCCGUAAAUAUAACGGGGCUCAAGCACGGUGCCGAAGCUAGAGACUAUUCGUAAGAAUAGUGGUAGGGGAGCGUCCCCAGCGCUGAGAAGCAGGAGCGGAAGCGACUGUGGAGCGGCUGGGGAGUGCGAAUGCAGGCAUGAGUAGCGAUAAACCGGGUGAAAAACCCGGUCGCCGGAAGCCCAAGGUUUCCUGUCCAAGGAUCAUCCGGGCAGGGUCAGUCGGCCCCUAAGGCGUAGCCGAAAGGCGAAGCUGAUGGGAACCAGGUUAACAUUCCUGGACUAGCAACUAUGAGCAGAGCGGGGACGGAGUAGGGUAGGUCAGCCUCCCGAUGGAUGGAGGUUCAAGCGUGUAGGCAGAUCUGGUAGGAAUAAAACGCCAGGUCAUAUGUCGAGACGUGACGUCGAAGGGCUUCGGCCUGAAGUGAUUGAUCCCAAACUUCCAAGAAAAGCCGCGGGCUGCGUUGAGUGGUUGUUAACCGUACCGCAAACCGACUCAGGUGGGCUGGUGGAGAACACCAAGGCGCUCGAGGGAACUCAGGUUAUGAACUAGGCAAAUUGACACCGUAACUUCGGGAUAAGGUGUGCCAUCAUUAGGUGAAACCUGUACAGGUGGAGCCGACGAUGGUUGCAACAAAGCGGCGGUAGCGACUGUUUACUUAAAACACAGGCCUCUGCGAAAGCGUAAGCUGACGUAUAGGGGCUGACGCCUGCCCGGUGCUGGAAGGUUAAAGGGAGUUGUCAGCGCAAGCAAAGCAACGAACUGAAGCCCCAGUAAACGGCGGCCGUAACGAUAACGGUCCUAAGGUAGCGAAAUUCCUUGUCGGGUAAGUUCCGACCUGCACGAAUGGCGUAACGACUUCCGCACUGUCUCGACCUGGGACUCGGCGAAAUUGACAUGGGGGUGAAGAUGCCCUCUACCCGCGGCAAGACGGAAAGACCCUGUGAACCUUUACUCUAACUUGCCAGUGGCAUUCGACUCAAUCUGUGUAGGAUAGGUGGGAGCCUAUGAACCC
rnacentral:rRNA from 1 species